rnacentral:misc_RNA from 1 species
GAUGAAUAACGCAGCGAAAUGCGAUAAGUAAUGUGAAUUGCAGAAUUCAGUGAAUCAUCGAGUCUUUGAACGCACAUUGCGCCCCCUGGUAUUCCGGGGGGCAUGCCUGUCCGAGCGUCAUUGCUGCCCUCAAGCACGGCUUGUGUGUUGGGCCGUCGUCCCCCUCCUAGGGGACGGGCCCGAAAGGCAGCGGCGGCACCGCGUCCGGUCCUCGAGCGUAUGGGGCUUCGUCACCCGCUCCGUAGGCCCGGCCGGCGCUUGCCGACGACCAUCAAUCUCUUUCUCCAGGUUGACCUCGGAUCAGGUAGGGAUACCCGCUGAACUUAAGCAUAUCAAUAAGCGGAGGA